rnacentral:rRNA from 1 species
AUUGAACGCUGGCGGCAUGCCUUACACAUGCAAGUCGAACGGUAACGCGGGGCAACCUGGCGACGAGUGGCGAACGGGUGAGUAAUGUAUCGGAACGUGCCCAGUUGUGGGGGAUAACUGCUCGAAAGAGCAGCUAAUACCGCAUACGACCUGAGGGUGAAAGCAGGGGAUCGCAAGACCUCGCGCAAUUGGAGCGGCCGAUAUCAGAUUAGGGAGUUGGUGGGGUAAAGGCCCACCAAGCCAACGAUCUGUAGCUGGUCUGAGAGGACGACCAGCCACACUGGGACUGAGACACGGCCCAGACUCCUACGGGAGGCAGCAGUGGGGAAUUUUGGACAAUGGACGCAAGUCUGAUCCAGCCAUGCCGCGUGCGGGAAGAAGGCCUUCGGGUUGUAAACCGCUUUUGUCAGGGAAGAAAAGUGCGACUCUAAUACAGUUGCCUCAUGACGGUACCUGAAGAAUAAGCACCGGCUAACUACGUGCCAGCCGCCGCCGUAAUAC